rnacentral:rRNA from 1 species
UACGAAGGGUGCAAACGUUGCUCGGAAUUAUUGGGCGUAAAGCGCACGUAGGCGGCUUAGCAAGUCGGAUGUGAAAUCCCUCGGCUCAACCAAGGAAGUGCAUCCGAAACUGCUGAGCUUGAGUACUUAAGAGGAUCGCGGAAUUCCCGGUGUAGAGGUGAAAUUCGUAGAUAUUCGCAAGAACACCAGUGGCGAAGGCGGCUCACUGGCCCGGUACUGACGCUGAGGUGCGAAAGCGUGGGGAGCAAACAGGG